CACUGGAGGAACGUCCGGACUGCAUAGGGCAGCGUAGCAGCUAACGGCUGUCCACUGAAAACUGCGCCCGCAAGGGAGCGGCAUAAGGUGAGGAUUAGAGCAACAGAGACGAGUUUCGUGCCCCGGCGCAGCGCAAGUUGCAACAGGGCGCGAAGGUGAAACGGGCAAUCUCUACGCGCAGCAAUACCAAGUAGGCCAACGUUGACGGGGCCCCCUGAGUUGGCGGGUAGGUAGCACCGAGCUUUUGAGUGAUCAAAGGCCCAGAGUAAUGGUGGUCACACACCGGGGCAACCCGGCGUGCACAGAAUCCGGCUUAUCGGUGGGCUUCACAC
rnacentral:RNase_P_RNA from 1 species